ensembl:lncRNA
GGACAAUCACACUCGGCCUCGGUUCAAGGCUAUGGGAUUAAUAUCCUGCCAAAACUCAAAAUCUUACAAAAAAAAGUUUUGCAAGAUCGAAAAAUAAGAUUUGCAAGCUUGCAAAAUGUAAAAAAAUAAAAAUAUCUCUGCAAACAUUAUGUUGUGAUUGAGAUUUCCUUCAGAACUGCAACAUUUUUUUUUACGAUGUUGCGCAAAUAAUUUUUCAGAAUUUCAAAUUUGUCAGUGUUCUCCCACUGUAUUAGUUUGUUUUCCAGGUUUGAAACCUUGUAAAUGGUGAUCUGAAAACUGGUGUGCGAAUGUGUGAAAAAAAAGUUUUGAAACUCUGAAAACUGAGGUUCGAAAGGGCGAAACUUAUUACAUUACAUUUGCACUCCUAUUGCAGACUAUUUUUUCAGAGCCAAGUUUACGUUGAUACGCCCACACAGUUGCGAGCUUGCGACUCACGUGAUUUGUGGCAACGUUGUCAAGCAGCUCUGCUCUGAAACUCUAAAACUCAGACUGAGCGAAAAUGAAGCUUUGCAACCUCGCAACUUAAAAAAAAAAGCCUGGAGGGAGGGCCUUCUGCUCUUGGGCAAUGCUUUGCUGUCUGCUGACGUACAGUCCAAUCACAAGUCGUAUUUACUGGAAAGGUGGGAUUGACCGACUGCUCCGCCAAUGACGAAAGUGCACAGGAUACGCAAACAGAGGAUGCACGGAUCUCUGACCACAAGGCGGUCCCAUCUAGAGCUGCAAGAACCGCGUCCAUGGCUGGGAGAGAGGAUGUCCUUCGGGAGGAGUUACUUGAGCGGCUGCGGUCUAGAGUGCAGCAAGCACUUUCAAGACAACCUGUCGAUUUGGACUUCCUCGAGUUUGUCUGCAACAAUGAAUUAAUUUUAAUUCAGUCUUUUGCUGAUCAGAUACACAUUGGCACUGACAUUUUGCAGCAGUUAAACCAUUUGUUGGAGCUGGUCCAAGCUGCAGUUGAAAACAAUCCAGCUGUGUCACAUUUAGACACCGCUGUGGGGUUAAGAGGAGGACCCAGGCUGAUUAUACAGAGAGAUCAGUUGCAUUACUUACUAGAAGCACAAUUCUCAGUACCCUGAAUAGCUCAGUUGUUAGGGGUAUCACAACGCACUAUAUUCCAUAGGAUAGAGGAAUAUGGACUAAGUGUGACAGGAUGCUACAGCACCAUGACUGACUCAGAACUUGAUAACAUGGUGAGAGCUAUAAAAACCCAGAUGCCCAAUGCAGGGUACCGAAAUGUGAAGGGACAGCUCAUGGCAAUGGGUAGCCGUGUGCAGUGGGAGAGGACAAAUGCAUCAAUGCAUCGUGUGGAUGCCGCUGGAGUUCUUUCCCGACUUGCACAACUUGGCUGCAUUGUGCGAAGAUCAUACUCAGUUCGAGGUCCCCUUGCACUAGUGCAUGUUGACACCAACCAUAAACUUAUCAGGUAUGUUUUUUAUGUAUUUUAAGCUAACGUUAUCCUUGCUAAGGUGUUAUGUAAAUCAGUGGUUUUAAACUCCGGUCCUUGGGGGCCCUCUGACCUCCAGGACCGAAGUUGAGGCUAAUUCCCUGGGUGUGAUAUGAGUAGGGUUGGGAACCGAGAACCGGUUCUUAUUCAGAACCGCUUCUGUUUUUUUAAAAGAACCGGAACCGUGAGCAAUUUCUUAGUUUCGGUUCCAAAAACGGUUCUGGUGCAACACGUGACCAAGCGCUGUGAGCAGCCUUGCACUGGUGUUCUGACGAUUCGGCGUUUCCCGUAAAGGAUGUCACAAUCCAAAUAACAGAAACGUCACCCUGCCUCUUUAAUUACUGAGCACAUUUUUUCUAAUGACGCACACUCCACAGACACGCGCGCCCGGUCAUGUCUUUUACUUCCGGAUACAUGUUUCCUACGACUGUACUGCACUCGCGCCUUUGAUAACUGUGCACAUCGUUUUGUCUGACUGUACAUGUACCGGCAGCGUGCAGCAACUGCCGCCACAAAAUUACAUUAUAUUUGUCCCAUAUUGUCAUUAAUAUACAUACUGACUUUAACUUGGACCACUAAAUAAAUAGACUGCUAUUGUUAUGUAAGUAUGAGGG